GCCUUCGUAGCUCAAUGGAUAGAGCAACGGCCUUCUAAUCCGUAGGUUGUGGGUUCGAGUCCCACCGAGGGCACCA
rnacentral:tRNA from 5 species